CUGAAGGCUUGACUGGGAUCCGUGUCUAUAUGGCACACUCAGAUAGCUGGCAGCUGAUACUGGCUGUGGAAGGGAAGCUCAGUUGGAGCACCUACUUAUGGCCUCUCCAUGUGGCCUGGGCUUCUUACAGUAUGCCACCUGGUUCCAAGACGGACAACUCUGAGAUUCUCAAUACUUAUCCUGCUUCUCCUGUUAGUCACAUGUAAUUAUGCGAUCACUCCCUCCUUUUGAAAACACCCAGAGUGACUGAAGAGUCAGGGAGAGCUGACUUAACACCGGGCAAUCAGCAAUUUGGGGACUUCCUCCAUUAUACCGAUGACAUGGUUUUAGAGUCAGGAACUCAGAGCGGCCUUCAGAAGAAGCUAAAACAUUUGGUAACAACAAUCAGAAAGAACAAUCUCAGGUCAGCCAUACAAAAGUGAAAAUAUUUGCAGUGGGGAGCAAGUGGGUAAGUAAUAGACUGAAUACUUCCUGUCUUAGGCUGAUCAGGUGCCAUAACAAAGUACUGUAGAUCGGGUGACUCAUCAACAACAUAAACUUAGUUUUUAAGCUUUGGAGUCUGGAGGUCUGAGAUAGAUCAGGGUGCCAACAUGGUUGGGC